CACUGCCCGAGUUCUCAAGGUAGGGGGAAAGAGCGGGACAGGGCCCAAACCCGGAGAAGGGUUGUCAUCAUCAUGAGUAAUGAAAUGGCGGCAAUGACGCUAACGCCUUGCUCAGGGAGAGAUUCACCCUGAAGCUGGAACCCGAAAGACAUAAAACACUUGCGACGUCUAUAAAAGUAAGUGGUAACGUUCAGUUUCAAUUUCAGCGUGGUUACCUACGUUGGCUCCUCAAGACCAAGUAGGCCCUUCUCCAUGAUGCAUUAACCCAACAAGGCAGCGAGGCUGCCCGCAGGCUCGGGAGGAAGGAGUCUGUCCACAACAGGCCCCAAGCAUCUGCACUGUCUGAUGGCGAUGAAAGGACAAGGGUGGUGAAGGGGCAACCUGGAGGCGGCUGUAGCCCAGUGCUUACCCCUCAUGAUAAUGUGCACAGCUGCAAGCCUACCCUAGCUGGGCUGUGGUCCAAGGUACAUCAACCGACUUCUUGCUAGGGACCACCUGGCUCAGCUGCCCUGUUCACUGCCAGCAGCCACAAGCUCUAGUCUCUGGGCACUGACAAGGCACCACCUCUGCACUGUGCAGCAACUUUGGCCCUUGGGCCUCUCCUCAACCUUUGGCUCAAGCUGCUGCGUCUGUAUCCUUGCUUGCACCCUCACAGCCGGCUCGAGCUGCAGUGCCUUGGCACAGCUCAAACCCGCUGUGACUCUUUGCCUUGCCAGGAUCAAGCAGCAAGACAAACCCCUGCCCUACAGAUGAACAAGAUGGCACUAGCAACAUGCAUGGCUUUCCUUCUUCAUUGCAAGGAGAGGCUGGACUCUUAAGCAAGCAGCAGCAUCUGCAAGGAAAGUGACCUCCAGACAGACGAAGGCCUUUCUCCCAAGCAAGCAGAUACAAACUCAAAUGCCACAGUCUCCUUAUCGUACAGGAGACAGCUGGCUCCAAAAUGGAAGAGGCAUAUUCCUUCAAAACAGGAAAGGGAACAUGAGAAAGAGGUUUCCCAUGAAUAAAGGAAAAGGCUAACUGACAUAGGGAAGAACUCUUCCCAGAGACACUUGACUACCUUCAUUGCCUCACGAGGCCUGCUCAGGCAACUAUCCAGACACCACACAGCAAGAGAUUUAUCCAGAAAGCCCUAUGAAUUAGAAAGCUUCAGUAGAAUUCUUGCUUUGCUAUAAAAGGGACUUAAGAUGUUGAAAAAGAAUUCUUUCCUCAAAAAACAGGGUUUGGAGAAACAUUAGGUCCUUCUUUACUUGAGAACAGGACUUAGAUGUCUUAAAAGCAUUUCUAAAAGAAGGUAAUGACAUCUCCAGAAGAGAUGCCAUAGCAAAGUGAGGGGAAAAAAAAAGCUUAAGUCCAAAUACUUGCUUACCUCUAAAAUUAGAGAUAAAUUAAUUAUAAAAUUAAUUCCAAAAUAAUGGUUCUUUAAAGAACCAAUUUCAGUUUAGGUUUGCUUAGAUUUGUGGAACCUAAAACAGUUAAUAAGAAAUAAAACAGCAUGUACUUCUUACUCUGGCUUUAGUUCCGUGCUGGGGCAAUCCUGCAUAUUGGUAAUGUUACAGUAGGUUUGCAGGUAUAUUUUACAUACUUGUUUUGCAAAUACAUAGUCCAAACAUGGUGUGUUUCUUUCUCAAGCUGUGUUCCUUCAUUAUAUAUUCCAUGACUAUUCCGUAUGUCCCACAGUGGAAGUUUUGCUAACAGCAUUCAUUUGGUUUAUUCACAUGCUCAAACUAUUCCCAGGAAUACAUGAAAGAGGACAGUAGAAGACUACAGGUGCAAGAGAACGGAUCCAUUGGCUGGAGGAUUAUGCCACAUAACAGGUCAUUAUACCAGAUGGGUCAUUACUAAACAACCUGCUGUGGGUAUGUCAAGAUGAGAGCACAUUUCAUAAAAAGUCAGAGAUGAACAGAAUGUGUGCAUUCACUGACAGAGCAGCAAUCCACUUUCUAUCACACAGAUGUCAUCUCAAACAUUUUAUUUACUAUUUGAACAAGAAAAAGUAAUAUUAAGCCAGAUAUACAAAUCUUCACAUAGUUUAUUCUGCCCUUGUGCCCAAUUUGUAGAAGAGGCUGCAAGCAUGUGAAUGUUCCAUUGUUAGCAUUACAUUAGCUGCAUCACAGCUGCAAAUCUUUCAAAUUAAAUAUGGGGAGUAAGUAUCUUCUAGUAGAAUUCUACACCUGGCCAAAAUUGCAAUGGACAAGACAGUGGGCCAGUGACCAUCUACACAGCUGACGGUCUGCAGUGUAUUAAUGCCAGAGCCAUUCUGAAAACAUUAGCUUAAGACACAGCCCCCUUCUAACCACACUCGGGCUCUGGCACAGUAAUAACCUGCUAAAAGAUGUUUCUGCAGUUUAAGUCAGGUGAAAAAAGGAAAUCGUUAACAAAAACUGUAUUUUGAAGAUGCUUAGCUAGUGCAAAAUAGGUAUCCCACAAGGCUACUAACGUGGAACAGGCAUAGCAACGUAGAUACCACUUGUGUCUCAGCACAAAUCAGGUAAUCUGGAACACACUUCAGAGGUUCAGUGCACUAAAACCCCCUGCUUUUCUGUAUUUUUACAAUUCUAAAAAGCUUAGAAAGCUGCCAUGUGGCAAAACACACAAACUCGCAGCAGCUAAAAAAUGAAAUGCCAUGUAGCCAAGCAGGUCAAGGUUUGUAACUGAACAUAUUAGAACCAAUGAUGCAGUUAGAGAAAACACAACAUUUUAGGUGAGGAAAGCCUUUUUCAGGUCCACAAUACAACCAACCUGCAAACUAAGGCUUUGGUUCCACCACCAAAGUCUAAAUACUGGCUGCAUGCUUCUGGUUCAUUAUAAAUACCUUGUCAAACGUAGUAGAAAAAGGAGUAUGAACUGCGUAGUGUGAGUAAAGGAGUCUGAAUCCGUGCCAGGUUCCAAACAGCUUGAAUGAGAAAGAGGUAAAUUGGGCAUAUAGUUAAGGAAAAAAAAGUUGUAAGCAUGUAAGGAGGGAAGUAAUACGGUAGGACAAAGUAAGAUUUGACUGUCACAAUAUUGCUCAGGCAAGGGUUUUACCCAUGAUAGCCAUGCACAGAGCUUCACUGGUUGCAUGGACAGCCAACUUAGGAAAACACUCCGAGGCUGACCAAGCACUCAGAUUUUUGCCUUAAUUUCAAUGCCAAACCAACUGCUAUAGUUAUUGGUUCCUCUUCUCAUUUUAAUAUAUUUGAGAUAACCAUAUUUUUCAGACUAUGAGCCUGUAGCUGUCCAUGGGAUCAGAUUACCCCCCUUCCUUCCCUACGCCAAGCUCAGAAAGAUCUAAAUCUGUUUCAUGUUUCUUGAAAGAUGCUUCUCCAGCUCAUCGAUUCUCUUAACUUUUGUGGUGGUGGUGGAUGGGAACAUAUAGAUAACUUUAACUCCAGGAUCUUAACUACACUGCAACAACAGGAGAAGACCUCCACAGUGCCUCAAAGAACCCAUAUGGCACGAGCACUAAACCUGGGAGUAGUUUUAUUUCUGGGGUACGUACACUAGAUUAAACAUAAUAAUACAAUGUUAUAGUCCUUUCCCCUCUACUGCCCUCCUCAACACACCAGGAAAGUCUUAAGAAAAAGCUACAGACGCAGAAGACCAAACGAGUGGUUUUGACAAUAAUUUACAGUAUGAAUAAUUGAUGUUCAAAAUAAGAAUGGAUGUUGGUUUAUACCCAGUUUAUUUUUAUGUAUUUAAAAGAAUUAAGAAUUCAAGAUGAAGCAACAUUCAAUCUGAAAAACUGCCAUUCUAGGAAUGACAUGCUUGCUUCAUACCAUCAUCUGGUCUUGCUGAUAUGAAGUCUGACUACUGACCAUCUGCCUUUCCAUCAAAUUACAAAACUUUUGCAACACAUUUACCAACAGCUGGCAUUUACAAUUUCCCACAUUUGUUGUUUUCCAGUAAUAGCAGCUUUCAGUGUUGACUUACAGAAAUUUAGGAGUAUAUCAAAGGUAUUAUAACAUAUGACAGCUUUCACAACAGCUUGAAGAAAACUUUUCCUCAUCUUUAGAGCACACCAAACCAGAAUAACAGGACCCCCAUUUCAAGGGACUUACUAGCAAGAACCAGGAACUUCUUUAUGGAAAUUAAGUUUCCAGUCACUUUUCUGUAGGUAUUGAAGCAAUAUUAACUCUUUCAAUUAGAUUUUGUGUGCCUUCUGAGUUUUAAUCUGGCACUAGCUAAAACUUACUAUUAGGAAGAGUUUGUAAACUUUACACAUUUUCUGCUACUAAGUUUCCUUUCAUAAAGUCUAUUUGAUCCAGAUGCAGGACUUCUGUAAUUGUUUCCAGCCUUGUGACCAGCACUCCCGCCAGUAAUUUGGUGACAUGCAGAGUUGAGGAAACAUUUAUAGUUAAAAGUGGCAGAGUCUACACGUAUUAAUAUGAAGACAUUCUUAAUUAUAAAGCAGCAGCAGUAAUUUGGUAAUUUACGCAACGUACUAUAUGAUAGGAGCUGUUAACAAAUACAUACACAUUUCUUCGCUUUCAAGCAGAAAGUCACACACCCCCCCUCCUUUCUUCCUGGCACAUCCACCAUUUUCCUUAGGCUUUUGAAAUUGUGCAAGAGGUUACACAGAAGUCAUCGGGUUCUCUUGCUCAGGGCUGGCUAAGCUGCCUUAGGCAGCACUUCUCUUUACUUGAAACCCUUUUAAGUUGCUUGCUAUUUUAACACACUACCCAGAAAUUACUGUUUUUUAACAGUUGGACCAGCUUGUUCCACUACCAAAACGGUAGAAAUGGACAACUUACUGGGAAUGCUUGUGAUCCACCAGAAGAUACCAUUCUGUGAAGAAAGACGAACAGUACGUCUCUGUUCGAGGCAAACGUCUCUCCUAUGCUGAAAGGCCUCACAGCCAGGGGCUAUUCUACUUGCAGCAGUGGGAGAGAAAGAAAUAGGGUCAACUUCUCUCAAGCUAUCUCUUUCAAUUCAGCAUACUAGUCCAUAGAACUACUCCUCCUAGCUACAUCAGUUAGUCCAAUACCAAGAUUUAAAAUUCCAAUUUGGUCCAACAAUGCUGCUCCUUGGAAUGAAAAUCCUACCUGGAGUAAGUGUAUGUUCUGGAUUAACUUUCAUCCUUUUAAUAUUUUAGGGGUCUUUUUCUAGAGAUCUGCUACCCUCAGUUCAGCUGAAAAGCUAAUUUUCUACUUCAAAAUCCUGAGAAUAGAUUAACCUACAACCCCAUCUCUGCAUCUCUGGUUUUAUUAGAAUUGAAGAACAGGGACCAAAGAGUUGCCAUCUGCAUGGUUACAGACAAUCUAAGUAUCACAGAGCAGUGUUCUGCUGCCAAACAGCUUGAGAAGUACACUCACCACCACACUUUUAAUAUUCAAGGGAAACAUCGAAGUUGCUUCUGUUGAUGAUCUAAUUCCACUGCUCAAUAAAGUCAGAAGCUAAAACUUACUCAUCUCACACUUUGGCAGAAAAUUGGUCUGUGACUUCCACUGCAGCAAUGCAAGGUGGUACCUGUAAGUAACUCUGCCUUCUGACAUCUUAAUAAUCUGAUUAGCACUCCUAAAAUCUUUAUUUCUUGUUUGUAUCCCAGGCCUCCCAAACAACUCCCCUUUUCCCAACAAUGUAAUUAAUUACAUUACCUCAAACUGCAACUUUUGGGAAAAAAGGCAUUGGACAAACUGGCUUCAGUUUUGCUCCUCAGGACUCCGAAUACUGCCACCCCGUGGAUGCUGGAAUCUUUAAGCUUUCUGUAUUUUGGUAAACUAACAGAACGGUAACAGGAUCUGCUGCAAAGCAGGCGAAGAGAAUAUUCCACUUAAAAAAAACCCACCAAACCCAACAAAACACCACCAGUGACAGCAUAAGAAAGUACAGGCUGCAGCUAGAACAGCACCUGCUUAAGGUAAUUGUAAGUACAUCACAGCUGGGGAAGUGCCCAGAAGAGGCAUUCACUAGCAGUAAACACAGACCUUGCCAUAGUGCUUUGGUUGGGUUUUUUUUGUUUUAGCAGCUUCUGUGUUUCCACAAACAUCUGUUCUCCUCUUAGCCCUAACAAGAAGGGAUUCUAACAAUAAAGCAAUUUUCUACAGUACAUCCUUCACAAAGGUAUUUUAAAAGUAUGAAGUUAGUAAUAAGUGUAAUUUUACUUACGGCGUCACAACUUCUUUAAAAACACCAGUUUAAGCAUUUUACCUCCUCUAAGGGCUCCCUACAUUCCACAUGAAAACAGUCCUAAUUUAUUUAGUGAAUACAUACUAUGCAAUUAGGCAAAUUAAUUAUUUCUUAAUAUUUAUACCAAAAUAGUUAUUUACCUCAAGCCUACAAAACAUAGCACACAACACAUUGAUAUUUGGCAGGUAAAAAAAACCCAAACAAGCCAAGAGAUUCAGAAAUCUCACUGUAACUUCCUGCCAAUGAUCAUCUUCACAUUUUGAUGAAAACUGGAGUGUACAUACAAAGACACACCAAACAUAACACUGUUGCAAGUUUUAAUGUUUAUUUCCCCAAGACAGCCUAGCCUGCACUCUACUUGGGAUAAAUUUCACAAGCUAGUUUCCGCUGCUUCUAGUUUUAAACUUUAACCAUGUUUCUGAUGACAAGGAAUGCUGCAAAAAUACUCUAGUCCAACAAAGAGUUAUGAUCACAAAAUAAUCUUUAUCCAUUCUACAGUGUUUCAGAAUUACCAGUUGAUUUUAAAACACAAGGUAGAUAUAGAUGCUAAUGGUGGCUAAUCUGGUAUGUUUUAUUAUAGCAAACUGUUGUUCAUGCAACACUUGUGCUCAAAGGGGAAGGCACAGCAUUUCCUACAAUGAGCCACCUUAUAAAGAGUUCAUUUUGUACAAAUUUGUAACGUCACCUUUAAUUUAGUGUGCAGAACCUCAAAACUGAGGUAUUACUCCAAUUAUAAAAACACUUGCAUCCUUUUUGUGCAAGUUUUAAAAAUACAAAGUUUUCUCUCUAAAGUGGCUCAAAAUAGAUUGUUCAUGGCUGCCUACAUCUAAGAUAAAAAGAGUCUAAAACAAUUGGAUUAGGCAUAUUAAAGGUGUUCAAACCAUGACUUGAUUUGUACAUCUAUUCACACCUCUUUUUCGGUCUUUAUUCGGCAGUACAUAUGCACCAAAUUUCAUUUUUAGAAGUUUCCAUAUCAUUUUCAUAGAAAACAAAGUUUGAAAACAAGUAACAUUGAAACACAGCACGGUAUUCUACCACAACGGAAACAUUUGGUUACAGGACUCAACAAAAUCUAAAAAUGAACUAUGCUGUAGAUUACCACAUGCAAAGGUCUUCAUGUUAUCUUUGAAAAUGAAAAGGAUGAGAUUUUAUUACCACAUUUUACUGCUUUCUACUAUUAUGGCAACUUGUGUACUGCAACACAGUCUAUUUGAAGGGAAAUGUAUGAUUUUUUCAUGCAAAAAUCUACAAAUUAGUUUUGAUGAUAUGGAAAGCUUUUCAUAACAUCAAACAUUCAUCUGGUGCAAAUGCACAGGGAAGCCUUCCUGAAAUUCUGACUUUACAAACAACUAAUAAGCCAUACAGGAAAGAAAUUAAAAAUAAUUAAAAGAAAAAUAAGAGGGGAAAAAAAAACAAACAAAAAAGAAACACAGGCUGCAGGAGUAAACCAGAGUCUGCUGCUAAACCGGUCUUUGUUUUUGUGUCCAGUGUAAGUUAACACUUAUGAACUCAUUUUGAUGAUUUACUAGGUUUGUUAUCAGCCCCCUGAAGGCGAAUCAAGCUUGCAUGCGUUCACAUACAGCAUCACAACCAUACUCUCGUACACACGCCACUCCAGGACUAGGAGCCUGCUUCAGGACUGAAGAGCCCUGUAUUUGAAACACGAGCCUGGCUCCACAGCAUCGAGUCCAGACAUUCAUCCAAUGUUGUCCAUUCACACGGUGCUUCAUAGCAAGGCCUGGGCUCAUUCUCCUUGGACUUAUAUGGGCAUCCUAUUCUCUUAUGCUUACAAGGCUUGAUGAUGAUAGUACUGCAUUUCCCCCCAAUUGCUCUAGUAAGUCAUUGUUCCUUCUCAGGCACUGAAGAUCUUUGACCUGUAGCCCUUUUUCUUUGAACAAUCUAAAUAAGCAUUCAGUGUGAAGUUUUUCAUUACAUUUUGCCACUCAUUCUCACUCGCACCCACUCGCCAUCUUGACUUCAUUUGGGCUUUUCUGUGAUUCCAAAUGAAAUCUUCACAUUUUCUUUCCCGAUUUAAUGCAGCAGCGGAUCCCAUGAGCCAAGAUUGAUGGAUCAAACCUUUUUUUUAUUCAGUGCUGCAUUGUACCUAACUUCCAAAAUACCACUCUAAAACUGGAACCCUUCUGCUGG